rnacentral:snRNA from 1 species
GUACUUGCUUUGGCAGCACAUAUACUAAAAUUGAAACGACACAGAGAAUGUCGCAUGGCCCCUGCGCAUGGCCCCUGCGCAAGGAUGAUACACAAACUCGCGAAGCAUUCCAUUAAAAA